rnacentral:lncRNA from 1 species
CAGACUGAAUGGUCAGGCAGGCAGAAUGGUCAGGCAGGCGGAUACAGAGUGGCAGACAGGCUCGAGGUCAAGGCAGGCAGAAUGGUCAGGCAGGCAGAAUGGUCAGGCAGGCGGAUACAGAGUGGCAGACAGGCUCGAGGUCAAGGCAGACUGAAUGGUCAGGCAGGCGGAUACAGAGUGGCAGACAGGCUCGAGGUCAAGGCAGGCAGAAUGGUCAGGCAGGCGGGUACAGAGUGGCAGACAGGCUCGAGGUCAAGGCAGACUGAAUGGUCAGGCAGGCGGAUACAGAGUGGCAGACAGGCUCGAGGUCAAGGCAGACAGAAUGGUCAGGCAGGCGGAUACAGAGUGGCAGACAGGCUCGAGGUCAAGGCAGACAGACAGAAUGGUCAGGCAGGCGGGUACAGAGUGGCAGACAGGCUCGAGGUCAAGGCAGGCAGAAUGGUCAGGCAGGCGGAUACAGAGCGGCAGACAGGCUCGAGGUCAAGGCAGGCAGAAUGGUCAGGCAGGCGGAUACAGAGCGGCAGACAGGCUCGAGGUCAAGGCAGGCAGAAAGGUCAGGCAGGCGGAUACAGAGUGGCAGACAGGCUCGAGGUCAAGGCAGGCAGAAUGGUCAGGCAGGCGGAUACAGAGUGGCAGACAGGCUCGAGGUCAAGGCAUGCAGAAUGGUCAGGCAGGCGGAUACAGAGUGGCAGACAGGCUCGAGGUCAAGGCAGGCAGAAUGGUCAGGCAGGCGGAUACAGAGUGGCAGACAGGCUCGAGGUCAAGGCAGACAGAAUGGUCAGGCAGGCGGGUACAGAGUGGCAGACAGGCUCGAGGUCAAGGCAGGCAGAAUGGUCAGGCAGGCGGAUACAGAGUGGCAGACAGGCUCGAGGUCAAGGCAGGCAGAAUGGUCAGGCAGGCGGAUACAGAGUGGCAGACAGGCUCGAGGUCAAGGCAGGCAGAAUGGUCAGACAGGCGGAUACAGAGUGGCAGACAGGCUCGAGGUCAAGGCAGACUGAAAGGUCAGGCAGGCGGGUACAGAGUGGCAGACAGGCUCGAGGUCAAGGCAGGCAGAAAGGUCAGGCAGGCGGGUACAGAGUCCAGAAACAGGCAAGGGUCAAAACCCGGGAGGACUAGAAGAAGGAGAAUAGCAAAAAG